rnacentral:rRNA from 1 species
UACGGGGGGAGCAAGCGUUGUUCGGAUUUACUGGGCGUAAAGGGCGCGUAGGCGGUCAGCACAAGUCAGUUGUGAAAUCUCCGAGCUUAACUCGGAAAGGUCAACUGAUACUGUGCGACUAGAGUGCAGAAGGGGCAACUGGAAUUCUCGGUGUAGCGGUGAAAUGCGUAGAUAUCGAGAGGAACACCGGUGGCGAAGGCGAGUCUCUGGACCACUCCUGACACUGAGGCACGAAAGCCGGGGGAGCAAACAGG